rnacentral:rRNA from 1 species
AGAGUUUGAUCCUGGCUCAGAUUGAACGCUGGCGGCAGGCCUAACACAUGCAAGUCGAGCGGAUGAGUGGAGCUUGCUCCAUGAUUCAGCGGCGGACGGGUGAGUAAUGCCUAGGAAUCUGCCUGGUAGUGGGGGACAACGUUUCGAAAGGAACGCUAAUACCGCAUACGUCCUACGGGAGAAAGUGGGGGAUCUUCGGACCUCACGCUAUCAGAUGAGCCUAGGUCGGAUUAGCUAGUUGGUGAGGUAAAGGCUCACCAAGGCGACGAUCCGUAACUGGUCUGAGAGGAUGAUCAGUCACACUGGAAAUGAGACACGGUCCAGACUCCUACGGGAGGCAGCAGUGGGGAAUAUUGGACAAUGGGCGAAAGCCUGAUCCAGCCAUGCCGCGUGUGUGAAGAAGGUCUUCGGAUUGUAAAACACUUUAAGUUGGGAGGAAGGGCAGUAAGUUAAUACCUUGCUGUUUUGACGUUACCGACAGAAUAGCCCCGGAG